CUACGGGAUGCACCAGUGAGGAAUUUUGCGCAAUGGGGGGAACCCUGACGCAGCAACGCCGUGUGAGUGAAGAAGGCCUUUGGGUCGUAAAGCUCUGUCAACUGGGAAGAAGUUACUAUGCUUAAAUAGAGUGUAGUAUUGACGGUACCAGUGGAGGAAGCGUCGGCUAACUCCGUGCCAGCAGCCGCGGUAACACGGGGGACGCAAGCGUUAUUCGGAAUUAUUGGGCGUAAAGGGCGCGUAGGCGGUCUUGUCGGUCAGGUGUGAAAGCCCGGGGCUCAACCCCGGACGUGCACUUGAAACAGCAAGACUAGAGUACGGGAGAGGAAAGCGGAAUUCCUGGUGUAGAGGUGAAAUUCGUAGAUAUCAGGAGGAACACCGAUGGCGAAGGCAGCUUUCUGGACCGAAACUGACGCUGAGGCGCGAAGGCGUGGGUAGCGAACGGGAUUAGAUACCCCCGUAGUC
rnacentral:rRNA from 1 species